AUUGAACGCUGGCGGCAGGCCUAACACAUGCAAGUCGAGCGGAUGAAGGGAGCUUGCUCCUGGAUUCAGCGGCGGACGGGUGAGUAAUGCCUAGGAAUCUGCCUGGUAGUGGGGGAUAACGUCCGGAAACGGGCGCUAAUACCGCAUACGUCCUGAGGGAGAAAGUGGGGGAUCUUCGGACCUCACGCUAUCAGAUGAGCCUAGGUCGGAUUAGCUAGUUGGUGGGGUAAAGGCCUACCAAGGCGACGAUCCGUAACUGGUCUGAGAGGAUGAUCAGUCACACUGGAACUGAGACACGGUCCAGACUCCUACGGGAGGCAGCAGUGGGGAAUAUUGGACAAGGGGCGAAAGCCUGAUCCAGCCAUGCCGCGUGUGAAGAAGGUCUUCGGAUUGUAAAGCACUUUAAGUUGGGAGGAAGGGCAGUAAGUUAAUACCUUGCUGUUUUGACGUUACCAACAGAAUAAGCACCGGCUAACUUCGUG
rnacentral:rRNA from 1 species